rnacentral:lncRNA from 1 species
GGUUAACUCUUCUGUGUAAGAGAUCAAUGCCAAGUCAAAAGUGCUGUCAUUUCAGACUGUGGAACAUGCUGGAUUUCAUCUUAUGGAGUAUCUUUGUUCUGGGAAUGUUGCAAAUAAAGGAUUCUAGGAUGAGAUGGCUGCAGGUGGGACAGACUCAGCUCUACACGGAGUUUAUUUGUCUGCAGCUUGCAGGAGACAAAAGAGAGGUUGCUGGGCUGGAGGAGAGACGAAGAAGUCAGUCAGUCAGCCAGCCAUAUUCCUAAAGGAACCUGUAAAAAGAAAGACUUUUAAGCAUGAAGAAAGGAGGAGGAUGCAGAAAAAUAAAACGUGUGUGGCCAUACCAUCUGAAGUUAUGGAGUUUCUGAUAAAACGAUAAUGUGCUAAUGUAUGCUUAAUGAUGGCAGAAGUCAAACAGAGGUGGGCAGUUAAGCUGGGCAAAAAUUGGAAAAAAAGUUGGAAAUUUAAACUUGAAAAAGAGAUAGUAACCUCUUCAGAAAAUAGUCUUUAAACAACAGAUUUUUUUAAACUUAUUCACUUUUUAAUCAAAAUCCUGAUUUUUAAAAUAUGAGAAUAUGAGCUCCCCUGCAAUUUUCCAUUAAAAAUAGUUUGGAUGUUUAUUCAACUGUAAUAAAUAUAUUCACAGAAGAUAAUAUGAGGUAUCU